rnacentral:rRNA from 1 species
UACGUAGGGACCAAGCGUUGUUCGGAUUUACUGGGCGUAAAGGGCGCGUAGGCGGCAAUUCAAGUCAUCUGUGAAAUCUCCGGGCUUAACUCGGAACGGCCAGAUGAUACUGCUUUGCUAGAGUGCAGAAGGGGCAAUCGGAAUUCUCGGUGUAGCGGUGAAAUGCGUAGAUAUCAAGAGGAACACCUGCGGCGAAGGCGGGUUGCUGGGCUGACACUGACGCUGAGGCGCGAAAGCCAGGGGAGCGAACGGG